rnacentral:rRNA from 1 species
AGGUUCUGUGUAAAUAGCAGUUAGACACGGGUUAGUUAAUCCUAAGAGAUAGGGUAAUUCUAUUUUAAUGUCGGCGCUUACACCACACCCUUAAAAGGGAAGCUAGUUAAUAUUCUAGCACCUAGAUGUAGAUUCUCUGUAGCAACGUAACUAAGAGCAGAGACCUUAGCAGGAGCCCUAAGAAGAGUUCUCUUUUCUUCUUAACGGUCUAUUACCCUAAAAUUAGUUUAUCUAGAGCUAGGGUUUAAUAGCUAGAAGAGCGCUGCACUUUUAUAGCGUUUAGUGCGCUCCUAAUAAGCCUUAAAAAUCUACUUAAAGAAAUAGUUUUUACCCUAGGUCGUACU